rfam:Saprolegnia parasitica CBS 223.65 mitochondrial scaffold supercont2.1443, whole genome shotgun sequence.
GGCGAAAUAAAGUAAAGGUAACUUCUCAGGCUCAUGAUCUGAAUAUGUAGGUUCGAAUCCUGCUUUUGCCA